UAGCUCGGUUGGUAGAGCAUGGUGUUUGCAACGCCAGGGUUGUGGGUUAGAUUCCCAC
rnacentral:tRNA from 1 species